rnacentral:rRNA from 1 species
GAUGAACGCUGGCGGCGUGCCUAAUACAUGCAAGUCGAGCGAACAGACGAGGAGCUUGCUUCUCUGACGUUAGCGGCGGACGGGUGAGUAACACGUGGAUAACCUACCUAUAAGACUGGGAUAACUUCGGGAAACCGGAGCUAAUACCGGAUAAUAUUUUGAACCGCAUGGUUCAAUAGUGAAAGACGGUCUUGCUGUCACUUAUAGAUGGAUCCGCGCUGCAUUAGCUAGUUGGUAAGGUAACGGCUUACCAAGGCAACGAUGCAUAGCCGACCUGAGAGGGUGAUCGGCCACACUGGAACUGAGACACGGUCCAGACUCCUACGGGAGGCAGCAGUAGGGAAUCUUCAGCAAUGGGCGAAAGCCUGACGGAGCAACGCCGCGUGAGUGAUGAAGGUCUUCGGAUCGUAAAACUCUGUUAUUAGGGAAGAACAAAUGUGUAAGUAACUAUGCACGUCUUGACGGUACCUAAUCAGAAAGCCACGGCUAACUACGUG